AUACGUAGGUGACGAGCGUUAUCCGGAAUUACUGGGCGUAAAGCGUACGCAGGCGGCAUGGUAAGUCUGACGUGAAAUCUCCUGGCUUAACUGGGAGAGGUCGUUGGAGACUGCUGUGCUUGAGACAAUGAGAGGGGUGCAGAAUUCCCGGUGUAGUGGUGGAAUGCGUAGAUAUCGGGAGGAAUACCAGAGGCGAAAGCGGCACCCUGGCAUUGGUCUGACGCUCAUGUACGAAAGCGUGGGUAGCAAACGGGAUUAGAUACCCCGGUAGUCCACGCCGUAAACGAUGAGUACUAGGUGUGGGUGGAGUCAAAUCCAUCUGUGCCGUAGCAAACGCGUUAAGUACUCCGCCUGGGAAGUACGGCCGCAAGGCUAAA
rnacentral:rRNA from 1 species